GCAAAUCAUUGGACAAUUCAUUAAAGUUUUCAUUGAAAGAGCAGAAUAGAUUAUUUAUUGCAUUCAAGAAGUGGGGGUGACGACGUCACAGCUGCUUUACAGUGACUGUAAAUGGCAUUGCAAUAAAACGAAAUUAAAUUGCUAUUUUGCAUAUGGCACACACACACUCACACUCUUAUCAACUGAUAUGAGCUCUUUGUCUGCAUGCCAAAAAUAAUAAUGGAAAAACAACAACAACAACGAAAACGACAGCAACUAAAGGCGAAUCCUUUGACAACAGCUGGCGGCACUGGGAGCAGACAAAAUCGAAAUAGUUUUAUAGUUGGCAUACCCCAAAAAAUCAUAACACGCGUUUAUUACCAAGAUUUUGAUGGUCUCUCAACCGGCACAAAUAAUGCCAAAUUCGACCGCAGACGACGCAUCAAAUCCUCAUUGAAUGACCGUCACUAAUUGAUAAAUGUAUCUGCUGCGUGUCCGAAUGCCAUAUUAAAAACAACAAAACAGGAGAAUUUCGAAGGUUUUCACAAAUA